GCUGGAGUAGCUCCAACGGUAGAGCAACUGACUCGUAAUCAGUAGGUUGUCGGUUCGAAUCCGAUCUCCAGCACCA
rnacentral:tRNA from 1 species